UCUAAUAUGGCAGAAUAAGUGCAAUGGAUUUAAACCCCAUGAAUAAAGAAUUACCUUUUUUUAGAA
rnacentral:tRNA from 1 species